rnacentral:lncRNA from 10 species
CCAAAGGGCUGUCUGCUAGCAGUGGGGUUCACAGCUGGGCUUGGCCGAUCCUCAGCUUUGUGACCCCAAGCAGACUGCUCCACCUCCCUAAGCUGAGGUUCCUCAUUGACAGAAUGGGGAAAAGAGAACCUCAUGGAGUUGAGGUCAGGAACAAACGACCUGGUCCAUGGGGCACACCUAUGUGAGUGCCUGUCACACCAUGAGCAUCAGGGAAAGUUAACCGCAAUUAGCGCUUAUACCAGUUCCGCUCCUCUCCAUUAUCUGUGAUCAGGCUUGGUCUCAAUUUUCCCAUCUGAAAAAUGGGAAGAACAGUUCCUUCCUCAUGGGGCUGCUUUGAGAACUGAAUUAAAUGAAAAGAGAAUGAAAUCACCCAGCACAGGGUCUGGUAUACAAUAGGUACUCAAUAAAUAUUAGUUCUUCUACUCCCCACCCCUGGCUUCAGUGCAGACCAAUAUCACCUCAAUACAAAUAUCUCUUCCAGAUACUCUCUUCCCUUCUCGACCCAUAGACAAAAUCCUCCCAGGGAAGGAGAGGCAGCUGCUCACACACCAAAGGGAGAUGAAUGUGAGCCUCUGGUUCUUCCUGGAUUUGUUCAGGAGUCGGCAUAUGUUUAGGAAGGUGGCCAGGCCCCCUUCCCAGAGAAUGACCCACCAUGGGUCUGAGCUGGUCCAGGAAAUCCACCUUUGCUAGUGAUUUGUCCUGAGGCUGACAGGACAUCCAACCCUCUGGCUAUGGCAUCUUGGAGGAACAGGCAGGCCUUGAAAAUAGCAGAAAUUCCGAAUUCCCCUGCCCCGGGAGGACUCAAAGGACCCUGCUGAGGACAGAGCUGAUAUGGCCUCAGAAUAAAGAUGAGGGAAGACCAUCCCAAGGAAGACCCCUCUAGCCCAUGGCAAAAGGGCUGGAAUACGCAAGGAUUUGAAAAGCAAGUUUUGCUUUCCAUAUAAACCUAAGCAAGUCGCUUAAUCUGUGAGCCUCAACUACUUUACUUGUGCAAUGGGCAUGUUGCUGGUAGUGGUGAUAGCAGGGAGCCACCGAGAGAGCUUCCAAGUGUGCCAUCUAAGCCCUCCUCUGGGGAAGGGAAGCUCCUCUGGGGAAGGGAAACUGGACCCCCGGGAAAAUUUAUUCUCCCAGGGACGAACAUCCAGACAUUUCCCUGUAGGAGCCUCAGUGUGUUCAGAUGUUCACUGUCCAGUAGAAACAAGACAUCUAGGCAACUCUCCCAUCUCACCAAGCCUCUGCUCUCUUCUGUGGCCACUGUGGGGUUGUGAGAGUAAUGUCAAGACCCAACCCAAUUAGAACACAGGGAAUUUUGCCUGGGAAAGGGAGCCCUUCUACCCUACACCCCUGCUUUCUCUCUUCCAAGGAUCAGGUCUGAUUCAUGUCUGCAUCCUAAAGGCUACAAAUAAACUGUGUCCGGAAAGGAAAAUAUUAUGUGUAUUGCCUUCUUCAAGGCUAAAAACCAGUCUCAACAGAGAGGGGCAGUUUUAAAUAUUUUUUUGUAACAAUAGUUCUAACUUUAGUUAGUAACUGAAGCCAUCUGAAACACUUUUUCA